AGCACUCCUACGGGAGGCAGCAGUGGGGAAUAUUGCACAAUGGGCGCAAGCCUGAUGCAGCCAUGCCGCGUGUAUGAAGAAGGCCUUCGGGUUGUAAAGUAUUUCAGCAGUGAGGAAGGUGGGUAUGUUAAUAGCAUAUUCAUUUGACGUUAGCUGCAGAAGAAGCACCGGCUAACUCCGUGCCAGCAGCCGCGGUAAUACGGAGGGUGCGAGCGUUAAUCGGAAUUACUGGGCGUAAAGCGCAUGCAGGUGGUUUGUUAAGUCAGAUGUGAAAGCCCGGGGCUCAACCUCGGAAUUGCAUUUGAAACUGGCAAACUAGAGUACUGUAGAGGGGGGUAGAAUUUCAGGUGUAGCGGUGAAAAUGCGUAGAGAUCUGAAGGAAUACCGGUGGCGAAGGCGGCCCCCUGGACAGAUACUGACACUCAGAUGCGAAAGCGUGGGGAGCAAACAGGAUUAGAUACCCUGGUAG
rnacentral:rRNA from 1 species